rnacentral:rRNA from 1 species
GAUGAACGCUGGCGGCGUGCCUAAUACAUGCAAGUCGAGCGAACAGACGAGGAGCUUGCUCCUCUGACGUUAGCGGCGGACGGGUGAGUAACACGUGGAUAACCUACCUAUAAGACUGGGAUAACUUCGGGAAACCGGAGCUAAUACCGGAUAAUAUAUUGAACCGCAUGGUUCAAUAGUGAAAGACGGUUUUGCUGUCACUUAUAGAUGGAUCCGCGCCGCAUUAGCUAGUUGGUAAGGUAACGGCUUACCAAGGCGACGAUUCGUAGCCGACCUGUAAGGGUGACCGGCCACCCUCGAACUGGGACCGGGUCAACACUCCUACGGGAGGCACCAGUAGGGAAUCUUGCGCAAUGAGCGAAAGCCUGACACAGCAACGCCGAGGCAGGGAUGAAGGUGUUCGGAUCGUAAAGCUCUGUUAUUAGGGGAGAACAAAUGUGUAAGUCACUAAGCACUUCUUGACGGUACCUAAUCAGAAAGCCACGGCUAACUACGUG